rnacentral:rRNA from 1 species
UACGUAGGGUGCAAGCGUUGUCCGGAAUUAUUGGGCGUAAAGAGCUCGUAGGCGGUCUGUCGCGUCGGAUGUGAAAAUCCAGGGCUCAACCCUGGACCUGCAUUCGAUACGGGCAGACUAGAGUUCGGUAGGGGAGACUGGAAUUCCUGGUGUAGCGGUGAAAUGCGCAGAUAUCAGGAGGAACACCGGUGGCGAAGGCGGGUCUCUGGGCCGAAACUGACGCUGAAGCGCGAAAGCUAGGGGAGCAAACGGG